UACGUAGGUGGCAAGCGUUGUCCGGAUUUAUUGGGUUUAAAGGGCGCGUAGGCGGCUUUGUAAGUCAGUGGUGAAAUAUGGCAGCUCAACUGUCAGGGUGCCAUUGAUACUGCGGAGCUUGAGUACAGAUGAGGUAGGCGGAAUUGACGGUGUAGCGGUGAAAUGCUUAGAUAUCGUCAAGAACACCGAUAGCGAAGGCAGCUUACUAGGCUGUAACUGACGCUGAGGCACGAAAGUGUGGGGAUCAAACAGG
rnacentral:rRNA from 1 species